CCUCAUAUUAUUUUGUUAACUAAAUAUCAAUUUGUAUCCCAAGUUCACAAAUUCUGAAUCAUACAUAAUCAAAUAUGAACUUGAAACAAUAAAAACAAUAAUUAAUAAUUAAAAAAGACAAAAAAAAACUAAGGCAUUGAGUAAGUUAUUCUUUUUAAGGGAGUUAAGGCAUUGAGUAAGUUAUUCUUCUGGGUAGGACCAUCCAUUGCAUCUCAAAUUAUGUGUCAAUGUCUCUAACAGGGAACCAGCUCUAAGCAUCUUGACAACAAACAUCAGCAAUAUUUUAGUCUCUAACAAGUGCUGGUAAUAAGUAUUUUCGUUUCAAACAGGUACUCUUGAGACUACCAAUAUUUUAGCAAAAUCCACAGCAAAGCAAAAAAUGGUUCUACAAAAUCACCAAUCAAAUAAUUAACACCUCAAACUGAAUAGAUUUUAAACCUUUCACCAAUCAAAAUUGAUAUAAACUGAAAGUCUAACCUUAAAUUUGUCUUCAACAGGUUUCGUGAUUCAAGAAAUACAUGGAAUGGACAACGAAUGUACAUUAAUAGGAAGAUAAAAAUCUAUCCAAUUCUUGUAAACACCAACUCAAGGGAAUAUAAAGAAUAGCAAAUUAUUAUGUAAAUUUAAUUCCAAAUCCUAAAAGCAUAGAAUUCGAAGCAGUCCACUGCAAUUCUGAAAACCAACUAUAUUAUCUUGUUCUAAAAACAAGAUUCACCACAGGAUUAUUUUUAUGCAAUUAUGCUUUGUAAGAAUAUUAAAUUGCACAAAACAACUAUAUAUUGUUCUAAAAAUUUUGAAAUCCACCACGUGUAUAUUUUCAACUAAUCAAUCAAAAUCUAUUUCCACUGGCUUCAUACUAACCUCUUUUUCUUCCAUCUCUUAAGACUUAAGCUGCAGACGGUAGCGAAGCAGUCGGAUUUUGGAAUGAAGAAUACAGCUUUCCUGGUUAACGUGAAUUGGGGAUUUGGAAAACAGGGUUUUAAAGCAAAAGAAAUAACCCGGUUGGUUCAAUUGCAAA
rnacentral:lncRNA from 1 species